UACGUAGGGUGCAAGCGUUAAUCGGAAUUACUGGGCGUAAAGGGCGCGUAGGCGGUCAGCACAAGUCAGUUGUGAAAUCUCCGAGCUUAACUCGGAAAGGUCAACUGAAACUGUGCGACUAGAGUGCGGAAGGGGCAACUGGAAUUCUUGGUGUAGCGGUGAAAUGCGUAGAUAUCAAGAGGAACACCUGAGGUGAAGACGGGUUGCUGGGCUGACACUGACGCUGAGGCGCGAAAGCCAGGGGAGCAAACGGG
rnacentral:rRNA from 1 species